GCUUUCUUCUCUCCUCACGAACACAUCUCUCAUUGCCUCAUCAUUACCAAAUCAUCAAAUCAUCUCUCAAAUUUUAGGGUUUUCUCUCUUUUUCUUACGAAAUUGUUCUUCGCUUCCUGAAUCAUCUCUCUAUCUGGUUUGAGGGUUUCGUUUGAUAUCUGGAAAAAGGGGUUUCUGGAAAUAAGGAAUUUCGUUAUUGGCGACCUGGAUCUAUCUUUUAUUUUUAUCAAAGCGUGAAUGAG